UCGGACACCGCGGAUAAACCACCGCGAUUGAAAACCCGCGUCCCUACGAACCCACACGGCGCUGCCGCCCGACCCCCGCCCGAUCCAGGGCACAGGCAAUUUCUUGGAGCACAACUAACAGCCCAACACCAAGUUAUCUCUGAGCCAUUAAAACACAACAACUUGACUUAAGCAAAAAUGAAGGAACUGGGAAAUCUCUGUGCAAGAGGAAGUGAACACAGAUUUCAAACCACGAACUUACGCUCACCAGAUCAGCCCAGAAUUUUGAGGAAAUAAUUCUGAAGGAAGCAGUGGCUGACCUUGGGAAGAGCUGGUUGUGCCCACUCGCUGUAGUUGCUGCUUCAUUCACUUUGGGCCGCUGUAGUUUUCAGUCAGCAAAUGGCACUGCCAAACUUACAAAGGCUGCUCCAGCUUCGUUACCAUUCUCAUGUUUAACAAUAUCUCAGCAGUGAAUAUAUGCUUAGGCUGUUCGACCUUCUUUGCUAAAGCUAACCCUGUUUUAUUUCUAAUACAGAAACAUAAUUAAACCUUAGAUUAAGCACAACACUGAA